rnacentral:tRNA from 1 species
GCCUGGGUGGCUCAGUCGGUUAAGCGUCUGACUUCGGCUCAGGUCAUGAUCUCGCGGUCUGUGAGUUCGAGUCCCACAUCGGGCU